GCAAAGAAGUGCAAAGAAAAAUGGGAAAAUAUGAACAAAUAUUUCAAAAGGACCAUUGUAACUGGGAAGGCUAGUAUUGCAAAUGACAUUAUUUGUGCCCCUAUAGUGACCAAAAGAAAUGUCAAGUUUUCAGUUCGAUGUCAGCAGGAAAUGAGGGAGUAGAUUGAGGAGAUACUUGAAUCAAGUUUCUGAGCUGAUGAUGCUUGAAAUUCUUGUAAGUAAAUGGAUAGUAGUUGAAGACAUAUCAUCUUUCUUCCUAUGGAUUUGUGUAGAUUUAAUGCUUAAUUUCUCUGGUUAUUGAAUUAGUUAGUUUGUAA